rnacentral:lncRNA from 1 species
AGAGUAUAGUAUGUCUUUCUCUGAUGGUUUCAGUUCCUUGAGACACUGUCUCCCACUGAACCAGAAGAUUAGCAUUUAGUUGGAGUUGCCUGGCCAAUGAACUUUCAGAAUCUGCCUGUCUCUACCGUGCAAAGCUGAGGGUAUACAAGAGAGCAGCCAGCCAUGCCUGGCUUUUUACUUGCAUGUUGGAGAUUUGAUCUCAGGUUUUCAUUCUUGCAAAGCAGGAGCUCUUAGCCAUUGGGCCUCUUGAGAGGCAUUAUUUAAAAUCAGGAGUACCUGCUACCACUACUCACAUGUUGGAAUCCUGCUCCCUGAAAGGCAGUGUCUGGGUCAUUUCCCUGGUUUACCUUGAAGGUAAACUGCAGCCAGGGCAGUUUUACCAGGGGAAAGUAGGAGUGGGUGGAAGGUCCACUUUUUUUUCCUUGGAAAGAUUCUGCAGCUCUGUAUGGAAAUCAAGAAUGCAGGAAAUAAGAAUAACUGAAUUUUGAGUCAUCUUUGAUGAGAGAAUCAUUCGCUCUCCAUCAUGCUAGCCCUUGAGAUCUGGC